rnacentral:rRNA from 1 species
GAUCAUGGCUCGGGAUGAACGCUAGCGGCAGGCUUAACACAUGCAAGUCGAGGGGCAGCAUAAUGGAUAGCAAUAUCUAUGGUGGCGACCGGCGCACGGGUGCGUAACGCGUAUGCAACCUACCUUUAACAGGGGGAUAACACUGAGAAAUUGGUACUAAUACCCCAUAAUAUCAUAGAAGGCAUCUUUUAUGGUUGAAAAAUUCCGAUGGUUAGAGAUGGGCAUGCGUUGUAUUAG